rnacentral:rRNA from 1 species
UACGUAGGGGGCAAGCGUUGUCCGGAUUUAUUGGGCGUAAAGCGCGCGCAGGCGGUCCUUUAAGUCUGAUGUGAAAGCCCACGGCUCAACCGUGGAGGGUCAUUGGAAACUGGGGGACUUGAGUACAGAAGAGAAGAGUGGAAUUCCACGUGUAGCGGUGAAAUGCGUAGAGAUGUGGAGGAACACCAGUGGCGAAGGCGUCUCUUUGGUCUGUAACUGACGCUGAGGCGCGAAAGCGUGGGGAGCAAACAGG